rnacentral:rRNA from 1 species
UACGUAGGGUGCGAGCGUUGUUCGGAAUUACUGGGCGUAAAGGGCUCGUAGGCGGCCAACUAAGUCAGACGUGAAAUCCCUCAGCUUAACUGGGGAACUGCGUCUGAUACUGGAUGGCUUGGAUUUGGGAGAGGGAUGCGGAAUUCCAGGUGUAGCGGUGAAAUGCAUAGAUAUCUGGAGGAACACCGGUGGCGAAGGCGGCAUCCUGGACCGGCAUUGACGCUGAGGCGCGAAAGCCAGGGGAGCAAAGCGGG